rfam:Macaca mulatta chromosome 17, whole genome shotgun sequence.
AGGGAGGAUCACUUGAGCCCAGGAAUUUGAGACCAGCCUGGGCAACAAAGUGAGACCUCAC